UGCAGUCGAACGGUAAGGCCCUUCGGGGUACACGAGUGGCGAACGGGUGAGUAACACGUGGGUGAUCUGCCCUGCACUUUGGGAUAAGCCUGGGAAACUGGGUCUAAUACCGGAUAGGACCACGGACUGCAUGGUCUGUGGUGGAAAGCUUUUGCGGUGUGGGAUGGGCCCGCGGCCUAUCAGCUUGUUGGUGGGGUGAUGGCCUACCAAGGCGACGACGGGUAGCCGGCCUGAGAGGGUGUCCGGCCACACUGGGACUGAGAUACGGCCCAGACUCCUACGGGAGGCAGCAGUGGGGAAUAUUGCACAAUGGGCGCAAGCCUGAUGCAGCGACGCCGCGUGGGGGAUGACGGCCUUCGGGUUGUAAACCUCUUUCAGCAUCGACGAAGCGUAAGUGACGGUAGAUGCAGAAGAAGCACCGGCCAACUACGUGCCAGCAGCCGCGGUAAUACGUAGGGUGCGAGCGUUGUCCGGAAUUACUGGGCGUAAAGAGCUCGUAGGUGGUUUGUCGCGUUGUUCGUGAAAACUCACAGCUUAACUGUGGGCGUGCGGGCGAUACGGGCAGACUGGAGUACUGCAGGGGAGACUGGAAUUCCUGGUGUAGCGGUGGAAUGCGCAGAUAUCAGGAGGAACACCGGUGGCGAAGGCGGGUCUCUGGGCAGUAACUGACGCUGAGGAGCGAAAGCGUGGGGAGCGAACAGGAUUAGA
rnacentral:rRNA from 1 species